rnacentral:rRNA from 1 species
GACGAACGCUGGCGGCGUGCUUAACACAUGCAAGUCGAACGGUGAACUCCGCUUGCGGGGGGAUCAGUGGCGAACGGGUGAGUAACACGUGGGCAACCUGCCCUCAGCUCUGGGAUAACUCCAAGAAAUUGGGGCUAAUACCGGAUAUGACCGCUGACCGCAUGGUCUGGUGGUGGAAAGAUUUAUCGGCUGGGGAUGGGCCCGCGGCCUAUCAGCUUGUUGGUGGGGUAGUGGCCUACCGAGGCGACGACGGGUAGCCGGCCUGAGAGGGUGACCGGCCACACUGGGACUGAGAGACGGCCCAGACUCCUACGGGAGGCAGCAGUGGGGAAUAUUGCGCAAUGGGCGAAAGCCUGACGCAGCGACGCCGCGUGGGGGAUGACGGCCUUCGGGUUGUAAACCUCUUUCAGCAGGGACGAAGCGAAAGUGACGGUACCUGCAGAAGAAGCACCGGCCAACUACGUG